rnacentral:misc_RNA from 1 species
GAUGAAGAACGUAGCGAAAUGCGAUAAGUAAUGUGAAUUGCAGAAUUCAGUGAAUCAUCGAAUCUUUGAACGCGCAUUGCGCCCGCCAGUAUUCUGGCGGGCAUGCCUGUUCGAGCGUCAUUUCAACCAUCAAGCCCCCGGCUUGUGUUGGGGACCUGCGGCUGCCGCAGGCCCUGAAAAGCAGUGGCGGGCUCGCUGUCACACCGAGCGUAGUAGCAUACAUCUCGCUCUGGGCGUGCUGCGGGUUCCGGCCGUUAAACCACCUUCAUAACCCAAGGUUGACCUCGGAUCAGGUAGGAAGACCCGCUGAACUUAAGCAUAUCAAUAAGCGGAGGA